UACGUAGGGUGCAAACGUUGUUCGGAAUCACUGGGCCUAAAGAGCGCGUAGGCGGUCUGACAAGUCCCCUGUGAAAGCCCCCGGCUUAACCGGGGAACUGCAUGGGAUACUGUUGGGCUAGAGUGCAGGAGGGGAGAGCGGAAUUCCUGGUGGAGCGGUGAAAUGCGUAGAUAUCAGGAGGAACGCCGGCGGCGAAAGCGACUCUCUGGCCUGUAACUGACGCUGAGGCGCGAAAGCUAGGGGAGCAAACGGG
rnacentral:rRNA from 1 species